CUGUGGAGAUCAGAUUUGUGAUGUUUCAUCAGUUAAGAAUCGGAGAAAACUGCUGAAGGAAAGUUUAGAAAAGCGAGCUUGCGACUGAUCAUCGGAUGGUUUCGCGAUAGAUAUUUGAGAGUUUCUAAGAGUUAAAUCUUGUAUUUGAUCCUGAGCUAAACAGGGGUCCAAGCCGUAGCCUUAUAUAAGGUUCACUGCAGGAAAUCGGACACUUUGAACAUUAAUCCGCAGCCCUCAAGAAAUUAGAUGUGGUGCACUCUAACCUGAUCUUAGUGGGGUUCAAGUUUCGAUUACAUAUUAGGGCAAGUGUGGACCAGCGAGGACCCUCGAUACGUGAACAAGUUGCCGUUUAGUAG